CGAGAGGCCCAAACGUUAUUCGGAUUUACUGGGCUUAAAGAGUUCGUAGGCGGCGCAGAAAGUAGGGUGUGAAAGACCCUCGGCUCAACCGAGGAAUUGCGCUUUAAACUACUGUGCUUGAGGAACCUAGAGGUGAGCGGAACUGAUGGUGGAGCGGUGAAAUGCGUUGAUAUCAUCAGGAACACCGGAGGCGAAGGCGGCUCACUGGGGGUUAUCUGACGCUGAGGAACGAAAGCCAGGGGAGCGAACGGGAUUAGAUACCCCGGUAGUCCUGGCCGUAAACGAUGAGCACUGGGCCGGAGGGCUGCACAGCCUUCCGGCCGUAGCGAAAGUGUUAAGUGCUCCGCCUGGGGAGUAUGGUCGCAAGGCUG
rnacentral:rRNA from 1 species